rnacentral:snRNA from 1 species
UUCUAACUGUUAGUUGGAGUUGUU